rnacentral:lncRNA from 1 species
AAAAUAUUCUCAAUUAGCAAAACAAACAACAGUGAGCUGCUAGCUAUAAAAGGUUGCAAAGUUAGCUUUAAUCAUCAGAAGCCUGUACUUUUUGACAUCUUUUAACCAUUGCAAACGCAAAUGUAAAAAACGGAAACUUCCCAACAACACAACAUCAUUGAUUUGAUUCCUCAUCUUUUUUGCAUUCGCCGCACCCAUCAGAGCAAGACAGACCAAAAAUAACAAAGCAAAAGAAGGCUUUUCCCUUUCCUUUUUAUAUUUUUUUAAUUUUAAUUUAUUUUCUUCUCAAAACUUUAUAUAUAAAAGGCUAAAUUGGAUUGUUAGUCAUAGGACACUUGCAUAAUGACCCCCGUGGUGAAAAAAUUAGGAAUUAAACCCCUGUGGUCUAGAAUGUUAGCAAAUUUAGUCCAAAAGUAAGAUUUCUGUUAAAUGACUGUUAAAAGUUGGGGUAAAACUGUAUUUUCAGUUCUAAUUGACAUUGAAUUGAGACUUUUUUUUUAUUUAAAAAAUUAAGCAUUAUUUUUUUAGUUAAUUGUUAUAAAAAAAUUAUUUAUUUUAAAUAUCAAUUGGAACUGAAAAUACAAUUUUACCUAUACUUUUAACAGUCAUUUAACAAAAAUCUUACUUUUGGACUAAAUUUGCUAACAUUUUUUACCACAAGGGUGUAAGUCCUAGUUUUUUCACUACGGGGGUCAUCAUGCAAGUUUCCUAUGACCACGGGGAUGAAUAAUCCAAUUUGGCCUAUAUAAAAACCAUAUUAUUCACUACAUGGAAAGGAAUAUUUGCUCCACUUCGUUCAUAUAGGAAGGGCUUUUGAAGUAGGACAAGACAAUUGCAAACAGCUCACACGAGGCUACUUUUGCUGAGGCAUGCAACCUACUCUCUCAGUUGAUUAUUUAUGCAUUUUUUUUGGGAUUUUUGGGUCCUCAGAUUAUUCCCUGAAAUAAGUGAAAUCCCACUUCCGAUGUGGGGCAGACAUCAUACGUUUGCAAUUGUUGAGCAACUUAGUAGAAGAAUCACAUAAAUAUUGUCUGCAUUAUAUUUUUCCCUUUGGAAACCCACUCAAUUACAUGUUGUUUGGUUUGCUUAAUCCGGCUAUCCCUUUUCUUUUUAACAAAAGCGAUAUCUCUAUAAUGUACUAGGAGGAAGAUUUGAACUAAUACAAUCGCCAAGCGGUUUCCCUAACCAAACCUUUAAAGAACAUUUCUAAGUUCUUUAUUUUCCCUUCUAUUUCUAGAGGUGCGGUUACUUCAUUUUAAAGACUUAAAUUAUUAUUUUCAAAAUGGUUGCAGGAAUACUCCACUUUAUAUAAGAGAGAGAGAGAGAGAGAGAGAGAGAGAGAGAGAGAGAGAGAGAGAGAGAGCAUUCAUCAUUCUUGCAAAACCAGCAUGCAAUAUGAACAAGUUCUCCAUACCUUUCAAUGUGUUCAUUGACAUUUUGGGGGAAAAGUGGGGCAACCCCAAAACAAUCAACAAAAGUUCUUGGCCAAGAGGGUCAUUUGAGGCCUGUCCCUUGUUUGGUAAAAUCUCUAGAAAUCCACAAAAUUAACCAUGGAAAUAAUAAUUACACAUUGUUAUUCUCUUCAUUUUUUAUACAAUGAUGUUUUUACACUAAAGAAGUGCGGAAUAAAUAGGUUGCGCACUCGUAAUUUUUCAGAUUCGAGCACAUGACAUUUCACUUAUAAAUAAAGAUGAGUACCAUUAAACGAUGGUAUUAAAUGGUCACUCUUAUUUAAUUUGCUCAAUCUAAUGACAA